rnacentral:rRNA from 3 species
GGACUACUGGGGUAUCUAAUCCCGUUUGCUCCCCUGGCUUUCGCGCCUCAGCGUCAGGUGAGGUCCAGCAGGGCGCUUUCGCCACCGGCGUUCCUUCCGAUAUCAACGCAUUUCACCGCUCCACCGGAAGUUCCCCCUGCCCCUACCUCGCUCGAGCCGGCCAGUAUCCGGGGCACUUUUCCGGUUAAGCCGAAAGAUUUCACCCAGGACUUGGCAAGCCGCCUACGCGCCCUUUAAGCCCAGUGAUUCCGAACAACGUUCGCACGGUUCGUCUUACCGCGGCUGCUGGCAC